GCUCCGAUAGCUCAGCUGGAUAGAGCACUUCCCUCCUAAGGAAGGGGUCACGCGUUCGAAUCGCGUUCGGGGUACCA
rnacentral:tRNA from 1 species